GUCGAGAAUCUUCCGCAAUGCGCGAAAGCGUGACGGAGCGACACCGCGUGAUGGAUGAAGUCCUUCGGGGCGUAAACAUCUUUUAUAAAGGAGGAAAUUUUUGAUGUUACUUUAUGAAUAAGGGGCUCCCAAUCUCGUGCCAGCAGGAGCGGUAAUACGAGAGCCUCAAGCGUUAUCCGGAAGCAUUGGGCGUAAAGGGUGCGUAGGUGGGUUGAUGAGUCUCCCGUUAAAACUUCGAGCUUAACUCGAAAAGGGCGUGAGAAACGGUCAAACUAGAGUAUGUGAGAGUUGUGUGGAACUCAUGGUGUAGGGGUGAAAUCCGUUGAUAUCAUGGGGAACACCAAAAGCGAAGGCAGCACACUGGCACAUCACUGACACUGAGGCACGAAACCUAAGGUAGCGAAUGGGAUUAGAUACCCGGGUAGUCC
rnacentral:rRNA from 1 species